rnacentral:rRNA from 1 species
UACGGGGGGAGCAAGCGUUGUUCGGAUUUACUGGGCGUAAGGGCGCGUAGGCGGCCACCGCAAGUCAGUUGUGAAAUCUCUGGGCUUAACCCAGAACGGUCAGCUGAUACUGCGGGGCUAGAGUGCAGAAGGGGCAACUGGAAUUCUCGGUGUAGCGGUGAAAUGCGUAGAUAUCGAGAGGAACACCUGCGGCGAAGGCGGGUUGCUGGGCUGACACUGACGCUGACAGCGCGAAAGCUAGGGGAGCGAACGGG